UGCUUCUUGUAACCCAUAAGAAGUAAUUUCCUGCCCAGUGAAAUUUUUAAACGGCCGCGGUAUCCUAACCGUGCAAAGGUAGCAUAAUAAUUUGUCCAUUAAUUGUGGACUAGAAUGAACGGAAUAACAAAAUAAGUACUGUCUCAUUAUGACAUAUAAAAACUAUUAUCCAAGUGAAGAAACUUAGAUAAAAAUAAAGGACAAGAAGACCCUAUAGAGCUUCAUUAGAUAAAAUCAUAGAUUACUUUUCCAAUUCGGUUGGGGCGACCAAGGAAAAUUCAUCCUUUUACCUAAAGAUAUACAAAUCUACUCAUAGAUCCUUUUAUAAGAUCCAAGAAUCAAGCUACCUUAGGGAUAACAGGCUAAUCCUAUUUAAGAGCUCUUAUCGACAAUAGGGAUUGGCACCUCGAUGUUGGCUUAGAAUAUCUCUAUGGCGCAGAAGUCAUAAAAAGAAGGUUUGUUCAACCUACAAUAUUC
rnacentral:rRNA from 1 species